CCUAAUACAUGCAAGUCGAGCGAACUGAUUAGAAGCUUGCUUCUAUGACGUUAGCGGCGGACGGGUGAGUAACACGUGGGCAACCUGCCUGUAAGACUGGGAUAACUCCGGGAAACCGGAGCUAAUACCGGAUAACAUUUUCUCUUGCAUAAGAGAAAAUUGAAAGAUGGUUUCGNNNNNNNNNNUUUUCUGGAGGGGUAGCGAAGUGGCUAAACGCGGCGGACUGUAAAUCCGCUCCUUCGGGUUCGGCAGUUCG
rnacentral:ncRNA from 1 species